rnacentral:rRNA from 1 species
AUUGAACGCUGGCGGCAGGCCUAACACAUGCAAGUCGAGCGGAUGAAGGGAGCUUGCUCCUGGAUUCAGCGGCGGACGGGUGAGUAAUGCCUAGGGAUCUGCCUGGUAGUGGGGGAUAACGUCCGGAAACGGGCGCUAAUACCGCAUACGUCCUGAGGGAGAAAGUGGGGGAUCUUCGGACCUCACGCAAUCAGAUGAGCCUAGGUCGGAUUAGCUAGUUGGUGGGGUAAAGGCCUACCAAGGCGACGAUCCGUAACUGGUCUGAGAGGAUGAUCAGUCACACUGGAACUGAGACACGGUCCAGACUCCUACGGGAGGCAGCAGUGGGGAAUAUUGGACAAUGGGCGAAAGCCUGAUCCAGCCAUGCCGCGUGUGUGAAGAAGGUCUUCGGAUUGUAAAGCACUUUAAGUUGGGAGGAAGGGCAGUAAGUUAAUACCUUGCUGUUUUGACGUUACCAACAGAAUAAGCACCGGCUAACUUCGUG